UGGGGAAUAUUGGACAAUGGGCGGAAGCCUGAUCCAGCAACGCCGCGUGAGGGAUGACGGCCUUCGGGUUGUAAACCUCUUUCAGCACAGGCGAAGCUGCCGCUACGUGUGGUGGUGGUGACGGUAUGUGCAGAAGAAGCACCGGCCAACUACGUGCCAGCAGCCGCGGUAAUACGUAGGGUGCGAGCGUUGUCCGGAAUUAUUGGGCGUAAAGGGCUCGUAGGCGGUUUGUCGCGUCGGGAGUGAAAUCCACUGGCUUAACUGGUGGCUUGCUUUCGAUACGGGCAGACUGGAGGUAUGCAGGGGAGAACGGAAUUCCUGGUGUAGCGGUGAAAUGCGCAGAUAUCAGGAGGAACACCGGUGGCGAAGGCGGUUCUCUGGGCAUGUCCUGACGCUGAGGAGCGAAAGUGUGGGGAGCGAACAGGAUUAGAUACCCUGGUA
rnacentral:rRNA from 1 species